GACGAACGCUGGCGGCGUGCUUAACACAUGCAAGUCGAACGGAAAGGCCCUGCUUUUGUGGGGUGCUCGAGUGGCGAACGGGUGAGUAACACGUGAGUAACCUGCCCUUGACUUUGGGAUAACUUCAGGAAACUGGGGCUAAUACCGGAUAGGAGCUCCUGCUGCAUGGUGGGGGUUGGAAAGUUUCGGCGGUUGGGGAUGGACUCGCGGCUUAUCAGCUUGUUGGUGGGGUAGUGGCUUACCAAGGCUUUGACGGGUAGCCGGCCUGAGAGGGUGACAGGCCCCAUUGGGACUGAGAUACGGCCCAGACUCCUACGGGAGGCAGCAGUGGGGAAUAUUGCACAAUGGGCGGAAGCCUAAUGCAGCAACGCCGCGUGCGGGAUGACGGCCUUCGGGUUGUAAACCGCUUUCGCCUGUGACGAAGCGUGAGUGACGGUAAUGGGUAAAGAAGCACCGGCUAACUACGUG
rnacentral:rRNA from 1 species